AUGAAACUUAAAACAUCCCUCGGUCGUCCGUCAGGAACGCUCAGUUCGGAUGUACUAAUGCAAUUUACACUACGAGAACGAUGCAAGAAUGUAGGGGAACAACCCCAUGCAAAACGUGGUCUAGAGCAUGUAUACCCUCAAACGAGAUCAACCAGUCACAGAUGCAAAUACCCAACAAUCCAUGUUAAUAAACAAACGGACAUUCAGAGCAUCCAAUCGGAUUUAGGAAAUCUGACAUCCCAAACGUCCGCGGACAGCAUUGAACGGCCCCUCAAAAGUCCUUAUGGACAACCAUGCUCCUCAUAUCUAAAUCUUUAA
rnacentral:rRNA from 1 species